AGCGAACGCUGGCGGCAGGCCUAACACAUGCAAGUCGAACGAAGCCUUCGGGCUUAGUGGCGGACGGGUGAGUAACACGUGGGAACGUACCUUUUGGUUCGGAACAACUCAGGGAAACUUGAGCUAAUACCGGAUGAGCCCUUAGGGGGAAAGAUUUAUCGCCGAAAGAGCGGCCCGCGUUAGAUUAGCUAGUUGGUGAGGUAAAGGCUCACCAAGGCUACGAUCUAUAGCUGGUCUGAGAGGAUGAUCAGCCACACUGGGACUGAGACACGGCCCAGACUCCUACGGGAGGCAGCAGUGGGGAAUCUUGCGCAAUGGGCGAAAGCCUGACGCAGCCAUGCCGCGUGAAUGAUGAAGGUCUUAGGAUUGUAAAAUUCUUUUACCAGGGACGAUAAUGACGGUACCUGGAGAAAAAGCCGGCUAACUUCGUGCCAGCAGCCGCCGCCGUAA
rnacentral:rRNA from 1 species